UGGGGUAUAGCUCAGUUGGUAGAGUGCUUGCCACGCAUGUAAAAGGCCCUGGGUUCAACCCCAGUACCACAA
rnacentral:tRNA from 1 species